AUGUUGUAAUAGAAGAAAAUGAAUACAAAUAAAGCUUUCAGUCAUGAAGUUAAUCAAGAACCAUUAAUUAUAGGCUUCCUUCAAAAUUUUCAAUGCUUAAGAUAUUUUAGAAAUCGCUCUGUUAGACAAUGAAGGACAAGAUCGAUGAGGGUAUGGUCUAUGUUGUUGGAUCGAUGAGGGUAUGGUCUAUGUUGUUGUUAAGUCUCACCUAAUAAAUGUCUGGGGCCUCUACUCACGGAUGAUUCAUGCAAUGCCUUGAAACAGAUUCAAAGAAGUUUUGAGCUUCCAAUGCAAUAAGUCCAUGGCCCCCCUCUCUUAUUUCACAGAAGUUCUUUGUUGUUUUCUUUUCCCGUUUCCUUUAAGAUUGUGUGUGACACGUGUAUAUGUAUAGCAUCUGUACAAGCCCUGCCUUUGGAGCUCAUUAUUACAACAGACAAGCACUGUUAAUGUUUAUAUGCAAAUUUCUUGAGAUUGAAAGUGAAGUGAGAAUCUGUACG
rnacentral:lncRNA from 1 species